rnacentral:lncRNA from 1 species
CUUUUGUCUGAUAGAUAUGUUCCAGUUUAUUCAUUUUUCCAUCAUAGAAACAAUGUAACACAUUUGUUCUAACUGUCAAAUGCAUGUUUGAUUCCUUACAUAAACUCAGGAACAAUGGAAGACUAAGGAUACCUUGGUUACAGCACGUGUCCAGACGUACACACAAAACCCAUUGAAAACGUGACAAAACCUAGGAUCUUUGUAUUCUGCAUGGAUGAUAACAGUAUAUUAGUAAAUCAGUCUUUUUUCACAGAAAACGCAGUCACCAGAAGUUUAACCUCACUUAGUGAUUACUUCAUCUCUAUCAGGUCAUUAUAAUCAUUUCAGACACAUGCCAAACAAAGCCGGCCUGUGUUGUUUAUUGUCUUGUUGUCACGGGUGGCCUGGCUCUUUCUGAGGCCAGUGUUGGACAGCAAUGGCUCACUGCAUCUAUUGGAUUAUGUGAGGGAUUUGAAGCCAGGAUUAGGCCAUUGGGCUGUAGACAGCAUGGGGGCUUCGUGAGCUUUUACAUCACAGGGGUGUGUUAGGGUGCAUGUGUGUGAGUGGGAGGGUGGUGUGUGAAAGUGUGUUUGCGCAUCCCAGAGGCCACAGCUUGUCUCCACUUGGCUCCAUCCAGAUCUUUGGCACGGACCUUCAAACAUGAACCUGUUCUGCUUCACACUGGAGGGCUCCACAGAAAGUAUAUAUGAACCAGCCUACAGUCAAACACUCAAGGAAGUCCUACCCAAGUACCAGUGCAGUCCUGCUCUUCGGAGGCGUAAGCCUGAAUGGGGCGGCUCAGAUCCAUCCAUCAAUUCUGACCGACCUCAGAGUACAAUAAAAGUAAACCAGAAUAAUAGAAGGUCAUGUGUGCCAACUUCACCCAUUGACAAUGACACAUUAGACAAAGACAUUAAUCACGCCUGCUGGAUGUCAUCAGGUAACAAGAAGGACUUAUGUCAUCAAAUCAAAGUCCAGAAUGGAGAGAUGUGUAAAGCUCUGUGUCACAGCAGCGUGUUGACCAGAGAUGACAGAGUGAAGGACCCGAGCUGUGACAGGACACAUCUACCCGCUCAGGGUGGUGAAACUGCAGCUGACACAGCAGAGUCAAUACACGCCACAGGAAGACUAAAGAAGUUACAGAAUCUAGUUCAAAUGAAGAAGGAACAUCAGAGUGGAGCUGGAAAAGGGAAGAGCACAUCUGAGAGUAAUGGUGAGUUGUUGUGGAUGAUGUUCUUCAUACUGUUCAAAAAGCUGCAUUAA